rnacentral:rRNA from 1 species
GAUGAACGCUGGCGGCGUGCUUAACACAUGCAAGUCGAACGAUGAAGCCCCUGCUUGCAGGGGUGGAUUAGUGGCGAACGGGUGAGUAACACGUGAGCAACCUGCCCCUGACUCUGGGAUAAGCGCUGGAAACGGUGACUAAUACUGGAUAUGUGCCACGGCCGCCUGGUCUGUGGUUGGAAAGAUUUUUCGGUUGGGGAUGGGCUCGCGGCCUAUCAGCUUGUUGGUGAGGUAAUGGCUCACCAAGGCGUCGACGGGUAGACGGCCUGAGAGGGUGACCGGCCACACUGGGACUGAGACACGGCCCAGACUCCUACGGGAGGCAGCAGUGGGGAAUAUUGCACAAUGGGCGGAAGCCUGAUGCAGCAACGCCGCGUGAGGGAUGACGGCCUUCGGGUUGUAAACCGCUUUUGUCAGGGAAGAAACGCUCUGGGCUAAUACCCCGGAGUAAUGACGGUACCUGAAGAAUAAGCACCGGCCAAC